UACAGAGGUCCCAAGCGUUGUUCGGAUUCACUGGGCGUAAAGGGUGCGUAGGCGGUCGGGUAAGUCUGACGUGAAAUCUCCAAGCUCAACUUGGAAAUGGCGUCGGAUACUAUUCGGCUUGAGGAGUGGAGGGGAGACUGGAAUUCUCGGCGUAGCAGUGAAAUGCGUAGAUAUCGAGAGGAACACCAGUGGCGAAGGCGAGUCUCUGGACAUUUCCUGACGCUGAGGCACGAAAGCCAGGGGAGCAAACGGG
rnacentral:rRNA from 1 species